GAUUAACGCUGGCGGCGUGCAUAACACAUGCAAGUCGAACGAUGAAACUUAGUAUACUUCUUCGGAAAGACACUAAGCGGAUUAGUUGCGAACGGGGUAGUAACCCGUUAGUAACCUGCCUUACACAAGGGGAUAGCCUUUGUAAACGAAGAAUAAUACCCUAUAAAACCAUAAAAGCACAUGCUAGAAUGGUCAAAGUGAUAGCGGUGUAAGAUGGACUUGCGUCUGAUUAGCUAGUUGGUGAGAUAAAAGCUCACCAAGGCAACGAGCAGUAGCCGGCUUGAGAGCGUGUACAGUGAGACUGGGACUGAGACAAGACCCCGACUGCUGGGAGAAGCAGCAGUGGGGAAUUUUGGACAAGGAGGGAAAUCCUGCUGCAGCGAGGGCGCGAGAUUUAGAAGGGGGUUGGGUUGUAAAAAUCUUUUGGAUAGGGAGAAAGUGACAGUAAUAUACGAAUAAGGUCCGGCUAAUUACGUG
rnacentral:rRNA from 1 species